rnacentral:lncRNA from 1 species
UUCAUGGGCUCGGUUCACCAUACGUGCAAUUGCACGCUCGUGUGGCAUCAUAGGCCAUAUUUCUGACUUUUCGACAUUUUUCCGAUCAACAAUCAUAGCAGUGUAAACAACACAUACUUUCGGCUUUUAAACAAUUAUCGAAAAACGCAUACAAAUAUAUAAACUUUUGACUUUUUAGCCGAUCAUCAAACCUAGCAUACGGUUACACACCUG